rnacentral:rRNA from 1 species
UCUUGACAUCCACGGAAAAAAAACAGAGAUGCCUUAGUGCCUUCGGGAACCGUGAGACAGGUGCUGCAUGGCUGUCGUCAGCUCGUGUUGUGAAAUGUUGGGUUAAGUCCCGCAACGAGCGCAACCCUUAUCCUUUGUUGCCAGCGGUCCGGCCGGGAACUCAAAGGAGACUGCCAGUGAUAAGGGGGGAGGAAGGUGGGGAUGACGUCAAGUCAUCAUGGGCCUUACGACCAGGGCUACACACGUGCUACAAGGGCUUUUUCUUUGAAGAACCCCCCUCGCGAGAGCUGCUGACCUC